rnacentral:tRNA from 1 species
GCGCCUGUAGCUCAGUUGGAUAGAGCAGGGGUUUUCUAAACCCUUGGUCGGGGGUUCGAGUCCCUCCAGGCGCG